GACGAACGCUGGCGGCGUGCUUAACACAUGCAAGUCGAGCGGAGCGGCGAACUGGUGAGUACCGCGUGAGUAAAUGCCCACCUCUCUGGGAUAACAGUUGGAAACGGCUGCUAAUACCGGAUUGUGGGGGAUGACUCGCGUCCUAUCAGCUUGUUGGUGUGUUAUUGGCCUACCACGGCGACGACGGGUAGCCGGCCUGAGAGGGCGACCGGCCACAUUGGGCUGAGAUACUGCCCAAACGCCUACGGGAGGCAGCAGUGGGGAAUAUUGCACAAUGGGGGAAACGCUGAUGGAGCGCCGCCGCGUGCGGGAGGACGGCCAUCGGGUUGUAAACCGCUUUCAGCCAUGACGCGGUAGUGGCAGAAGAAGCACCGGCUAACUACGUGCCAGCAGCCGCGGUAAUAC
rnacentral:rRNA from 1 species